UCAGUCUGAAUUUGUUUAUUUAUAAACGUUAAAACUUUCAACAACGGAUCUCUUGGUUCUCGCAUCGAUGAAGAACGCAGCGAAAUGCGAUAAGUAGUGUGAAUUGCAGAAUUCAGUGAAUCAUCGAAUCUUUGAACGCACAUUGCGCCCUCUGGUAUUCCGGGGGGCAUGCCUGUUCGAGCGUCAUCAAAACUACUCAAGCUAAGGUUUACCUUCUGCUUGGUCUUGGAAUUGGAGGCUUAUGUCUCCUUUCUGAAAUACAGUGGCGAAUUGACUGUGCUGUAAACGUAGUAACUUUACCCGUUGAAAGCAUGUUCACAUUCCGCCAAAACCCCCUCUAUUAUCUAGUUUGACCUCGGAUCAGGUAGGGAUACCCGCUGAACUUAAGCAUAUCAAUAAGCGGAGGAAAAGAAACCAACAGGGAUUGCCUUAGUAACUGCGAGUGAAGCGGCAAAAGCUCAAAUUUGAAAUCUGGGGCCUCACAGCCUCCGAAUUGUAAUUUCACGAUACGUUUUCGACUGAAGGCUCUGCUUUAAGUUCCUUGGAACAGGACGUCACAGAGGGUGAGAAUCCCGUGAUAGGUGGAGCCUGAUGCAUAUGAUACGUAUUCAACGAGUCGAGUUGUUUGGGAAUGCAGCUCAAAAUGGGAGGUAAAUUUCUUCUAAAGCUAAAUAUUGGCGAGAGACCGAUAGCGCACAAGUAGAGUGAUCGAAAGAUGAAAAGCACUUUGAAAAGAGAGUUAAAAAGUACGUGAAAUUGUUGAAAGGGAAGCGCUUGAGACCAGACUCAAUC
rnacentral:rRNA from 1 species